UCAUAUCACAUUGAAACAUUAGUUCUCGUACAAUCACUUAAGUUAAGCAACAUUGAGCCUGGUCAUUACUUAGAUGGGUGACCACUUGGGAAUACUGGGUGCUGUA